GAUGAAGAACGUAGUAAAAUGCGAUAAGUAAUGUGAAUUGCAGAAUUCAGUGAAUCAUCGAAUCUUUGAACGCACAUUGCGCCCGCCAGUAUUCUGGCGGGCAUGCCUGUUCGAGCGUCAUUUCAACCCUCAAGCUCAGCUUGGUGUUGGGACUCGCGGUAACCCGCGUUCCCCUAAUCGAUUGGCGGUCACGUCGAGCUUCCAUAGCGUAGUAAUCAUACACCUCGUUACUGGUAAUCGUCGCGGCCACGCCGUAAAACCCCAACUUCUGAAUGUUGACCUCGGAUCAGGUAGGAAUACCCGCUGAACUUAAGCAUAUCAAUAAGCGGAGGA
rnacentral:misc_RNA from 1 species